ACCCUCUUCCUGGAGAUCUACUGUCCUGUUGGUUUCCAGUUAAACCCUCUUCCUGGAGAUCUACUGUCCUGUUGGUUUCCAGUCCAACCCUCUUCCUGGAGAUCUACUGUCCUGUUGGUUUCCAGUCCAACCCUCUUCCUGGAGAUCUACUGUCCUGUUGGUUUCCAGUCCAACCCUCUUCCUGGAGAUCUACUGUCCUGUUGGUUUCCAGUUCAACCCUUUUCCUGGAGAUCUACUGUCCUGUUGGUUUCCAGUCCAACCCUCUUCCUGGAGAUUUACUGUCCUGUUGGUUUCCAGUCCAACCCUCUUCCUGGAGAUCUACUGUCCUGUUGGUUUCCAGUUCAACCCUCUUCCUGGAGAUCUACUGUCCUGUUGGUUUCCAGUUCAACCCUCUUCCUGGAGAUCUACUGUCCUGUUGGUUUCCAGUCCAACCCUCUUCCUGGAGAUCUACUGUCAUGUUGGUUUCCAGUUCAACCCUCUUCCUGGAGAUCUACUGUCCUGUUGGUUUCCAGUCCAACCCUCUUCCUGGAGAUCUUCUGUCCUGUUGGUUUCCAGUUCAAACCUCUUCCUGGAGAUCUACUGUCCUGUUGGUUUCCAGUUCAACCCUCUUCCUGGAGAUCUACUGUCCUGUUGGUUUCCAGUUCAACCCUCUUCCUGGAGAUCUACUGUCCUGUUGGUUUCCAGUUCAACCCUCUUCCUGGAGAUCUACUGUCCUGUUGGUUUCCAGUCCAACCCUCUUCCUGGAGAUCUACUGUCCUGUUGGUUUCCAGUCCAACCCUCUUCCUGGAGAUCUACUGUCCUGUUGGUUUCCAGUUCAACCCUCUUCUUGGAGAUCUACUGUCCUGUUGGUUUCCAGUUAAACCCUCUUCCUGUAGAUCUACUGUCCUGUUGGUUUCCAGUCCAACCCUCUUCCUGGAGAUCUACUGUCCUGUUGGUUUCCAGUUCAACCCUCUUCCUGGAGAUCUACUGUCCUGUUGGUUUCCAGUCCAACUCUCUUCCUGGAGAUCUACUGUCCUGUUGGUUUCCAGUUCAACCCUCUUCCUGGAGAUCUACUGUCCUGUUGGUUUCCAGUUCAACCCUCUUCCUGGAGGUCUACUGUCCUGUUGGUUUCCAGUCCAACCCUCUUCCUGGAGAUCUACUGUCCUGUUGGUUUCCAGUUCAACCCUCUUCCUGGAGAUCUACUGUCCUGUUGGUUUCCAGUUAAACCCUCUUCCUGGAGAUCUACUGUCCUGUUGGUUUCCAGUUCAACCCUCUUCCUGGAGAUCUACUGUCCUGUUGGUUUUCAGUUCAACCCUCUUCCUGGAGAUCUACUGUCCUGUUGGUUUCCAGUCCAACCCUCUUCCUGGAGAUCUACUGUCCUGUUGGUUUCCAGUUCAACCCUCUUCCUGGAGAUCUACUGUCCUGUUGGUUUCCAGUCCAACCCUCUUCCUGGAGAUCUUCUGUCCUGUUGGUUUCCAGUUCAAACCUCUUCCUGGAGAUCUACUGUCCUGUUGGUUUCCAGUUCAACCCUCUUCCUGGAGAUCUACUGUCCUGUUGGUUUCCAGUUCAACCCUCUUCCUGGAGAUCUACUGUCCUGUUGGUUUCCAGUUCAACCCUCUUCCUGGAGAUCUACUGUCCUGUUGGUUUCCAGUCCAACCCUCUUCCUGGAGAUCUACUGUCCUGUUGGUUUCCAGUCCAACCCUCUUCCUGGAGAUCUACUGUCCUGUUGGUUUCCAGUUCAACCCUCUUCCUGGAGAUCUACUGUCCUGUUGGUUUCCAGUCCAACCCUCUUCCUGGAGAUCUACUGUCCUGUUGGUUUCCAGUUCAACCCUCUUCCUGGAGAUCUACUGUCCUGUUGGUUUCCAGUCCAACUCUCUUCCUGGAGAUCUACUGUCCUGUUGGUUUCCAGUUCAACCCUCUUCCUGGAGAUCUACUGUCCUGUUGGUUUCCAGUUAA
rnacentral:lncRNA from 1 species